rnacentral:rRNA from 1 species
GGGGCUAAUACUGGAUGUUGUUUCUUUAUCAUAUGAUUUAGGAAUUAAAGAUGACCUCUUCUUGAAAGUUAUUGUUUAGAGAUGGGCUUGCGGUCCAUUAGCUUGUUGGUAGGGUAAUGGCCUACCAAGGCUGCGAUGGAUAGCCGACCUGAGAGGGUGAUCGGCCACAUUGGGACUGAGAUACGGCCCAGACUCCUACGGGAGGCAGCAGUAGGGAAUUUUGCGCAAUGGACGAAAGUCUGACGCAGCAACUCCGCGUGAGGGAUGAAUGCCUUCGGGUUGUAAACCUCUGUUGAGUGGGAAGAAAAAUUUUAUUGCUAAUAUCAAUAAGACUUGACGGUACCAUUCGAGGAAGCUCCGGCUAACUACGUGCCAGCAGCCGCGGUAAUACGUAGGGAGCAAGCGUUGUUCGGAAUUACUGGGCGUAAAGGGAGUGCAGGCGGAAAAGUAAGUUAGAAGUGAAAUGUAUCGGCUCAACCGGUAACCUGCUUUUAAUACUGCUUUUCUUGAGUAUGGGAGAGGAAGAUGGAAUUCCAGGUGUAGCGGUGGAAUGCGUAGAUAUCUGGAAGAACACCAGUUGCGAAGGCGAUCUUCUGGCCCAAUACUGACGCUGAGGCUCGAAAGCUAGGGGAGCGAACAGGAUUAGAUACCCUGGUAGUCCUAGCCGUAAACGAUGGACACUAGAUGCUGGGGACAUUAUGUUUUCAGUGUCGAAGCUAACGCAUUAAGUGUCCCGCCUGGGGAGUACGCUCGCAAGUGUGAAACUCAAAGGAAUUGACGGGGGCCCGCACAAGCGGUGGAGCAUGUGCUUUAAUUCGAUGCAACGCGAAGAACCUUACCUGGUCUUGACAUGGGAGUGAAAAGUUUUAGAGAUAGAACUCCUUCCUUCGGGAACACUCUACACAGGUGCUGCAUGGUUGUCGUCAGCUCGUGUCGUGAGAUGUUGGGUUAAGUCCCGCAACGAGCGCAACCCCUGUCCUUAGUUGCCAUCAGGUCAAGCUGGGAACUCUAAGGAGACUGCCUGGAUUAACCAGGAGGAAGGUGGGGAUGACGUCAAAUCCUCAUGGCCCUUACGACCAGGGCUA